GACCAGACUUCCCGAUGUUAUUCCUUACUAUGUGGGUCCCAGCGCCCACAUCUGUUGGAUUGGUGCUUCGUCAAGGGUACCUGCAGGCUACUCCGUGAGCUCCGGAAACCAGCCUUCUUUGCUCAAAUGAUCUUUGUCAUGCAUAUAUCCUGAGAUUGCCGACAGGUUUUGUCAAAGUCAAAUCGUCCUUCCAGUCCGCAAUUAUUCUUUGCCGAAAACCGCCAUGUCGCGUCCCUCCAACCUCAAGAUUUCUCUCCAGGUAACUCACAUUGAUUAUGUAGCAUACUGCCACGUCGAGAGAGUCUGAAAUCCGACGCAGAACGUAUCUGCCGCUGGAGAAAGCCGCCUGUUUAUUUCAUUGAAUGCUUAACACCUUAUGAGCGUUGAUGGAGAGAAAUCUGAUUUCGGCGUCAUGACUGAUCCCGAUGAGAUCUUCCCACGCUGCGAACUGGAUAUUUCCAGCAGUAUUUAUCCGUUACUGAGACAGAUCCGGACUAUGAAGGCACCGUAAAUUAAUUUUGAGAGUAAUUUCAUGAGGAACUUUUCCGGUUAUUUCACCCUAUUUUGCUCAGAUUAGACACAUCUGUGCUGGUGCCUACAGUUAUUAUUACGAGUUGACCAUUCCAUUUAUACCUCUGCCCACACAGUUACCGAGCUUCCAUAUAGUCAGUCAAUUCUAGAAGUUCGAUUCGGUUUCUCGUGUCCCCCAAAAAAAGGAA
rnacentral:sRNA from 1 species